CUGUAUAAAGAUGAUAAUUUCUUGACCUGUAUGAGCAGAUCUCACAUUUAUAAGACUAAAUUUAAUGUCUAGUUUUAAACUAUGUGCAGAUGUGAAGGGGUUUUUGGCAUCAAACUUAAAGAGGAGGAGUUUGGCAGAUAUGAGAUGAUCUUACAUUCACUAGACUGUCAUAAAACUUACUCCUGUUGUAGUGAAACACACACAUGUACAAUGAUGCUUCAUUCAGUCAUUCUACUUUGGGCUUUGACAUGUGUGAGUUUUGGAGCUGAAAUCACACCAGACAGCACUGAGGAAUCUGCUGCAGUGGGUUCAACUGUUACUUUAUCCUGCAGUUAUUCCUCUGCAGACUCACUUCAAUGGUACCGUCAGUAUCCCGGAUCAGCUCCUCAGUUUCUUGUGCUCAUAAUAGAUGGUAUAAAAGAGACUAAGCCAUCUAGUGUAGAUCCCAGGUUUUCUACUAAGCUCAGAAAAGAAAAUCAAGCAACAAAAGAGAUCAGCCGUGUGGAUCUGAAGAUCUCCUCUGCUGCUGUAUCAGACUCUGCUCUGUACUACUGUGCU